AAAGUAGCUGGGAUCCAUGGUAAAGCCCUUCAAAGGACAUAACGUGGCAGCUGCAGCUGCAAAAAUGGCUGCUCCAUCAGGAGAGCUUCUCUAGUUACCAUUAAUUUCCACACUGCCCUUGUGUGAACUGACACCUUCUGUGAACUUACUACAGAUGAAGUGAGGGAAGCUACUACACAGCAUUCUCAGUUGCCCCCAAUGGUCAAGGGCUGGAAGACAAACAAACGAGGGAAGGUUUAUGUCCCCAAAUAGCUUUAGUGUGCUCAUGCCAACUUAACUCGCAAGGAUUCAACCCACUUUGAUUUUGGUAACACCGUGACCUCACAGAGACCACCUCUGACCUCAUAGAGACCCCUUCUGCCCUCACUGACAGACAGAGAUCUCAGCUGACCUAACAGAGUCAUCCCCUGACACUUUAGACACUCCCCUUAUCCACACAGAGACAUCCCAUGCCCACACAGAGACUUGUCUGACCACCCAGAGACCUCCACUGACCUCAUAGUGAACCCCCCUUCCCUCAAAGUGAGGUCUCCUGAUUUCACAGAGAACUCCCUGAACACACAAAGAACUCCCAUGACCUCCAAGAAACCUCUAGUGACAUUAUAGAGACCCCCCUCUGACCUCACCGAGACCUGAUAUCACAGAGGCCAGCCAUUACCUCAACAAGAUCCCCUACAACACAGUGAGAACUCCACUAAUUUCAUGGAAACCUCAAGUGACUCUCACCAGAUCUAGGAUCUCAGGAAAAUGAAGAGAGGAUGGACCUUGAAACCUCCCUCCAUAAGUUAUUCAGAUCAAAAUUCUCCCUGGAACCUCCUGAGUUGGCUGAGAACAGAGCAGCAAAGUCCACAGCAUUCUCCAAAGUUAGAGGCAAGAUUUUCAUCUUGAACUUCCUGGGCACACCCCUGGGCUCCUAAGCA
rnacentral:lncRNA from 1 species